rnacentral:rRNA from 1 species
GCAGCACGGAGAGCUUGCUCUCUGGUGGCGAGUGGCGAACGGGUGAGUAAUAUAUCGGAACGUAUCCAAUAAUGGGGGAUAACGAGUCGAAAGAUUCGCUAAUACCGCAUACGCCCUACGGGGGAAAGCAGGGGAUCGUAAGACCUUGCGUUAAUGGAGCGGCCGAUAUCUGAUUAGCUUGUUGGUGAGGUAAAGGCUCACCAAGGCGACGAUCAGUAGCUGGUUUGAGAGAACGACCAGCCACACUGGAACUGAGACACGGUCCAGACUCCUACGGGAGGCAGCAGUGGGGAAUUUUGGACAAUGGGGGCAACCCUGAUCCAGCCAUUCCGCGUGAGUGAAGAAGGCCUUCGGGUUGUAAAGCUCUUUCGCAAGGGAAGAAAACUUAUGAUCGAAUAAAUCAUGAGGUUGACGGUACCUUGAUAAGAAGCACCGGCUAACUACGUGCCAGCAGCCGCGGUAAUACGUAGGGUGCGAGCGUUAAUCGGAAUUACUGGGCGUAAAGCGUGCGCAGGCGGUUUUGUAAGUCGGAUGUGAAAUCCCCGGGCUCAACCUGGGAACUGCGUUCGAAACUGCAAGGCUAGAGUGUGUCAGAGGGGGGUAGAAUUCCACGUGUAGCAGUGAAAUGCGUAGAGAUGUGGAGGAAUACCAAUGGCGAAGGCAGCCCCCUGGGAUAACACUGACGCUCAUGCACGAAAGCGUGGGGAGCAAACAGGAUUAGAUACCCUGGUAGUCCACGCCCUAAACGAUGUCAACUAGUUGUUGGUAGAGUAAAAUCUAUGAGUAACGUAGCUAACGCGUGAAGUUGACCGCCUGGGGAGUACGGUCGCAAGAUUAAAACUCAAAGGAAUUGACGG